UUUUAUUUCAAAAAAAAAAUAAAUAUAUCAUUGGGUAUUUUGAUGUUACAACAAAAAUAGGAGAAAAAGAUCAAAUUAAAAGCUUUUGCAGUGUGAGAUAUUUUUACAGAAAUAUUAAGCUUUUGCUGUGUUAAAUUUGCAGAUUAAUUUCUAACAUCUUCUGAUAAAACUAUGUAUAAUCUGAAUUGAACUUCAAGCUCCAUGUCUAGAUCCUUCCUUAUCUACUGAACCCAAAUCUAAUGAGUGCUCCUCUUUUCUUCUACUUCCCAUCCUGAAAAGUCCAUACAAUUUUCUGAAUUCUCUCACUGUAUGAACACUUUCUCUGCAGAACACACCUCCUUCAGCUUCACCACUUUCAUCUCUGGACCUUACAGAUCUACUCUCACUCAAUCUUUGAGCAACUAUACUAUUGUUUUGUAGAGCUGAAAUGACUGAUUUCAAAGCCCUGGUUGGUGAAUUUCUGUUUGAGAUCAUGAUCUCACCAAUUUCAGCAGGACUUAUACUUGCUCCUCCUGUUUGGAAAAUUUCUUCAACCUGAGGAAAAAGCUUGUGUUCCUUGACUCCUAGGUAACUGUUAGCCAAGCUUUUGAAUGCUGAGAAAUCACAUAAGGGAAAAUUUAUAUGAAAAUCAAUCCUUCCAGGCCUCAUUAUUGCUUGCUCAACAACUUGAUCUUUGCUGUUCAUUGUGAAAACCAUCAAUCUUUCCUCUCCACAGCAGGAGACAAUACCAUCCAUGAAAUUUAACAUUCCUGAUAAGCUCACAACCUUUGAUUUCUCAAUCAAGAACCUGUCAAGAUCCUCUAUUACAAUUAUUGAACGACUUGUAGUUUGUAACAGAAGCAUUUUCAGGUCAGAAUCAUCAGAAACCUUGGUGAUAUCAAUAUCAUACACAUCAAAAUUGAGGAACUUAGCCAUGGCUGCAAUAAAACUUGAUUUCCCAGUUCCUGAAUCACCAAGCAGAAGGUAACUGCGUUUCCAAACACGCCCUAAUCUGUGAUAAUACUGCUUAGACUUCAAGAACGAUUCAAGAUCAGCUUUUACUUUGUUCUUCAAGUCACCAUCCAUAACCACCGUAUCCAUGGUGGCCGGAUGUGUGAAGGGAACCCAUCUCCACCUUCCAUUUUCAUGACGCUCACUCUCCACAUUCAUAUAUAGUUUGAUCUCUUUUUUGCUCUGUUCGAUCUCAUCUGCUACUGAAAGAAUGUGCUGCAAGUAAGGGCGAAGAAUUCUGCGUUUAUCUUUCUUCCUCAGCUUCAACAAGAACGUUCUUUUCCCAUUAGUUUCAGAUUUCUCGUUGCUCCACCAAACUCUGGCACUCAAGAAAUUAUCUUCAAUAACUUGAUUGGCAUCGAGAUGGAGGAUGAUAUCAUUGGACUUGGGACCUGAAAACAAGUUGGUGAAAUCAGAAUCUUCCAUGGCAGGCAAGGAGCUGAGAUAAGUGGAGAUCUUUCGAUAGAGCCGAUUUUCUUGGAAAUGUUCAUUAUACUGAGGAACUUUGUAGAAUUGGUAGACAUGAAAAUGGUCUUCAAAUGAUCUCCAACAGCGUACAAGAAUUUGCAGAGCAGAAGUUCCUGAUAAAAAUCUAAGGAGAAAAAAACCCACUAAAGAUAGCUAAAAAAGCAAGAAUUACGGUGCUAGAGAUCAUGAUCUAUGCAGAAAAAGCUGAAGAUUCUUGUUGGUUAAUGGAAAGAGGAGGAAGAAGAAGGGUGUGUUCUUUAAUGGUUAAGAGCUGCCAGAGCCGGUGAAUUUAAUAGGUCAAAGAUCAAAGGCAGCAGAAGGAAGGAAAUGGCGUAGGCUAUUGGCCUUUGC
rnacentral:misc_RNA from 1 species